GAUGAACGCUGGCGGCGUGCUUAACACAUGCAAGUCGAACGGAAAGGCCAGUGCUUGCACUGGUACUCGAGUGGCGAACGGGUGAGUAACACGUGGGUGAUCUGCCCUGCACUUCGGGAUAAGCCUGGGAAACUGGGUCUAAUACCGGAUAGGACCACAUUUUGGAUGGUGUGGUGGAAAGUUUUUCGGUGUGGGAUGAGCUCGCGGCCUAUCAGCUUGUUGGUGGGGUAAUGGCCUACCAAGGCGUCGACGGGUAGCCGGCCUGGGAGGGUGUACGGCCACAUUGGGACUGAGGUACGGCCCAGACUCCUACGGGAGGCAGCAGUGGGGAAUAUUGCACAAUGGGCGCAAGCCUGAUGCAGCGACGCCGCGUGGGGGGUGACGGCCUUCGGGUUGUAAACUCCUUUCGCUAGGGACGAAGCGUAUUUGUGACGGUACCUGGAGAAGAAGCACCGGCUAACUACGUGCCAGCCGCCGCCGUAA
rnacentral:rRNA from 1 species